GCUUACACAUGCAGUCCAACGGCACACGGGAGCAUCCUGGUGGCGAGUGGCGAACGGGUGAGUAUACAUCGGAACGUGCCCUGUCGUGGGGGAUAACUAGUCGAAAGAUUAGCUAAUACCGCAUACGACCUGAGGGUGAAAGCGGGGGACCGUAAGGCCUCGCGCGAUAGGAGCGGCCGAUGUCUGAUUAGCUAGUUGGUGGGGUAAAGGCCCACCAAGGCGACGAUCAGUAGCUGGUCUGAGAGGACGAUCAGCCGCUCUGGGAAUGAGACACGGCCCAGACUCCUACGGGAGGCAGCAGUGGGGAAUUUUGGACAAUGGGGGCAACCCUGAUCCAGGGAUGCCGCGUGUGUAAAUAAUGCCUUCGGGUUGUAGAGCAGUUUCGUCCGGAAAGAAAUCCCUUGCCCUAAUACGGCGGGGGGAUGACGGUACCGGAAGAAUAAGCACCGGCUAACUACGUGCCAGCAGCCGCGGUAAUACGUAGGGUGCGAGCGUUAAUCGGAAUUACUGGGCGUAAAGCGUGCGCAGGCGGUUUUGUAAGACAGGCGUGAAAUCCCCGAGCUCAACUUGGGAAUGGCGCUUGUGACUGCAAGGCUAGAGUAUGUCAGAGGGGGGUAGAAUUCCACGUGUAGCAGUGAAAUGCGUAGAGAUGUGGAGGAAUACCGAUGGCGAAGGCAGCCCCCUGGGACGUUACUGACGCUCAUGCACGAAAGCGUGGGGAGCAAACAGGAUUAGAUACCCUGGUAGUCCACGCCCUAAACGAUGUCAACUAGUUGUUGGGGAUUCAUUUCUUCAGUAACGUAGCUAACGCGUGAGGUUGACCGCCUGGGGAGUACGGUCGCAAGAUUAAAACUCAAAGGAAUUGACGGGGACCCGCACAAGCGGUGGAUGAUGUGGAUUAAUUCGAUGCAACGCGAAAAACCUUACCUACCCUUGACAUGCCACUAACGAAGCAGAGAUGCAUCAGGUGCCCGAAAGGGAGAGUGGACACAGGUGCUGCAUGGCUGUCGUC
rnacentral:rRNA from 1 species